rnacentral:sRNA from 1 species
GGCCGGGGACUCUAGGGGGACUGCCGGUGUCAAACCGGAGGAAGGUGGGGACGACGUCAAGUCAUCAUGGCCCUUACGCCCAGGGCUACACACGUGCUACAAUGGCCGGUACAGAGCGCUGCAAACCCGUGAGGGUGAGCUAAUCGCAAAAAGCCGGUCUAAGUUCGGAUUGUAGUCUGCAACUCGACUACAUGAAGCCGGAAUCGCUAGUAAUCGCGAAUCAGCAUUGUCGCGGUGAAUACGUUCCCGGGCCUUGUACACACCGCCCGUCACGCCAUGGAAGCUGGGGGGACCCGAAGCCGGUGGGCUAACCGCAAGGAGGCAGCCGUCGAAGGUCAACUCAGUGACUGGGGCGAAGUCGUAACAAGGUAGCCGUAGGGGAACCUGCGGCUGGAUCACCUCCUUUCUGG